rnacentral:lncRNA from 1 species
UUUUUUUAAAAAACGACUACCUCCUAAAAACUGGUAAUUGAAAAGGGAAAGAAGUUUGCAUUUAAUAUCCAGCAAAAUGAUACAAUCUUGUAGCUCAAAAGGAAAACAAAGAAGAAACAAGAGUGUCUUAAGCUGCAACAAGAUCAGGUGUCUCAGCCUCAACGGACAACAAGGUAGUGUGAACCUUAUCAACCCAACUAUCAAGCUGAUCCCUCAAUGACUUGAUCUGCGGUAUCCCAAGCACCCUCGGUUGCGCCCAUGAAACAUGCACAGUUCCAUCCACCUGAUCUAUUAUCCCCUCUAUCAAGUGCACCUGCACAAAAUCACCAAAUGAUAUUUAUUCACAUCAACAUAAUCUCCCUAUCUUCUUGUGUCUUCCCAAUCUUAUUUAGAUUGAAUGGGACAGAGAUGAAUACUCACAGAUAAACUCUUCAUGAGAAGGUGCUCAACAUCUUCGAUUGAAAGCUUAGUACGCUCAGCAAUGACACUCAACGGUAUGGUCCUAUCUUCAGCUGGUCGGCUGUUACAGAUAUGGUUACAAAACAAUUUAAGCAUUCAUUUUUUUUCCCCUAUCUGCAAGACAUUGCUUAGAGAAGCAACAAAUACCUGAAAAUGAUCUCAAUAAGGCAGAGAAUGUUGAUCUUCUCCAACAGCUUCUUCUCAUUCUCAACCAGCGCUGGCUGUGCGCUCAAGGCUGCAUUGUGAUAAGUCCAAUUUAAAUUCAAAUAAAAAUAAAAAUCUAACUAAGAGAAUAUGUUAACUACUAUGUAAAAGUUUUUUUUUUUUUUUGUAAUUUGAGACCAUAAAAUUUCUACAAAAUUUGGGGGUUCUAGACAAAUGUUUUUUUUGAAAAGCCUCUAAACACGGUUCUCGCUCCUAUUAAUUGUCCCUCGAUUAAUAAAAGCUUGCGUUUGCGACAACUUACACGGAUAAAGUUCUUUGUCAAGAAAAUAUAUUUAAAUUCGCAUUAACAACAUAUUUGAAACUUCAUCUUGCCUUAGAAUCACUCAACCAGAUUGUCCAAGGAAAGGUUAAGGAAAUGAAUAGUUUAAUUUAUACAUAAAGGAACUUCCUGGAUAUAAAUAUUCACUUUUUGACGUUGUAUAGUAAGUUUUUAAUAACUUUUGAACUUACCAAGUGUUUCUUUUAGUUAUUUUGAAAGAUUAUAUUCAUUACGUAAUUUACUUAUUAGUUUGUAUAACACAUAGGCUUCUUACAAUGAUCGUAAACAUACACGUUUGUUUCUUUAAGCAUCAAUGUCAAUAUGCAAUAAAAACAAAAAUUAAGUUCCGAGAAAAUAAAACAGAAGACUUUUUAAGCCACCUUAAUUCUUCUCCGAAAGCAAUAUAUAGGCCGCUAAUUAACACCACCACGUAAUCGCCAAGGAGAACGACCGCAGUUCUGGAUAGAACCAACACGUGGCACCGGCACACAUGAGAUGGAAGCCUGGUGACGUUAACUUUGGCUGACGUUUAGAUAGUUUUUUCUACACGUGCUGGCCCAUGGGUGGGUCGUUGUUGUUUUGAGAUUAUGCGGUUUCAUAGUGUUGAGCGAGUAACCGCGUAGCCAUAAAACGCAUGGCGAUUGCGUUCAGUAACGUUACACCGACUCAGCUUCGCAAUCGUUGACAUUUUCAUUGUAGCUUGUAAAAGUUAACAACCAUGAAGAUUAGUAGUACUCUUCUUUUGUUGGUUCAACUAUUAGUAUUCUUUUAGAACCCGAAAUAAACGUAACUUAUAAUUACUAAAUGAACUAAUGCAUACACGAUAUCUUAAUAUUUUUCGAAAUACAUUAUACAAUGUAAAUAAAAGUGUAAAAUUUCACCCCAUAUUUAAGCUAUAAGUUUACCAAUUUUUUUUUUUAUUAAUACUCCAUUCAUUUCGGUAUAAGCAAUAUAUUUAUACUCAAAUUUACUUAAUAUUUAUUCAAAAAGUAUAUAUCAGUUAUUUCUAAACUAAGAAAAUAGGUACUUUUAACAAGGGAAAAUGAUGAGAAUAGUAACCGUGCAAAAUUAUGUACAGCGAUGAGGAGCUUCAAAUAAAUGAAUUAGGAUGUUGCUUUGCCUUUCAAAAAAGAAUUAUGGUGUUACUAAUUACGUACGAACACCGAUAUAUCUAACUGUAUUUUGGCGAAAUGAUGUGUAAGUGUAUAUAAAGACUUGUCUAAUUCACGAUGAUAAAUUAAUCACAUCCUUAAUGAUUGAUUAAUUAUUAAAAUAUCGAAUCCCUUGACUUCACUCAAACACCUUCACGAUGACCUCAUCUGAUGCAACACAAGAUAUUAAUAAUUACACGUAUAUACACACAUACACAUAUAUUAUACGUGUAAAACAUGAGAUUCUCUGCGAUAUCUCGGUCUAUAUAGGUUGCAACUUUUCUCAUAGUUGUGACUUCUCUUCCUACUUGACUCUUCAAUAAAAUCAUAUAUAUCCUAAGUAAUCCCUAACUUUCUUUCUAAAAAUAUUUCUCUCUUUCAAUGUCAGAAGAAGAACUUCAAGAAUCAGACGUUAUAUUUUCCGAUGAUUAUUUCAUAAACAGCAACAAGAAUAGCAACAAGGAAAACAACAAAGGAAAGAAACCAGCGACGGUGAAAAAGUCAUCUCCGGUAACAAUUCCAUCGAGAACUACAUUCCGGUGGCCGGAAGUUGAAGAGGAGGAGGAUGAGAGGGAAAUGACGCCGCCACAUGUCAUCAUCGGAAAACGAAGAGUGGAGUCGCAAAUGGCGUUUUCGUUUAGUACCCUUAAAGGAAGAGACCUGAGUCGUCACCGUAUCUCGGUUCUUAGGAUGACCGGUUUUUUGGAAGCUUAAUUGAUCUUAAAAUACAGCCGAACUGGUCCGGUUAAGGUUUAUAAAUGAACCAAUGUAUGACGAUAUUAAUUUUUUUUCUUAAUUAUUGCUAAAAGAAAAGUUCAAUAUAGGGAAUAAUUUCCCAUAUUUUACCAUUUAAGAUAUUAACAAUAAUAAUUAUUUAUGUUAAAUUAUUGUUUGGUUUCUUGAGAAAAUGAAAAACAUAUAAGAAUCAAAUCUUAUGUUAAAUUGAGUUAUGUACGGGGUUUAAUUUGCUUGUGAAGUAACGGGUUUCUUGGCUUGUAGAUUUUGUAUUUGGUCCACAUCUAUAGGAUUCUGCAAUUUGCUCGCUAACAUAAGCCUUAUAAGCUUUGUUUGCUAUUGUGAACUCAGCUGAGGGAUGAAUUGAUGGUAGUAUGAUGAUACCCUAUGGUUUAUUAAUAUUUGUUUAAAUCAAACAAUUUGAUACCAUAAUAAUUUGGUUGACCUUAGAUUGCGUAUAUGGUCCUAAUCAUUCAGCUGAAGUUUUGAACACGCGCUAAUUAGCCACUAGUAUGGGACUUGUAGUAUGGCCACUAUAUUCGUAUAUAUUUUAUUUUUUGCAUAAACGAAGGCAAUCGUUAAAAUUAACUUAUUAUUACUGUGUUUGGAUUUUGUCAAAGAUUGUAUAUUCAUCAUUUAGUACAGAAUAACUUAAAAAUCAUAAGCGUGGUGACUUUAUUAAUGGUAUAUCAUCCAUGAUUCUAAUUCUAUAGAGGUAAACACUAUAAACAUACACAUAUUCAGGUAUUAAAUCAACUACUAGUGCUAUAGAUCAGCCGACACCACCGCGGUGGACCGAUUCCGCCUCCAUAUUUUCCUUGUUCUAUGCACUUUAGUACGACUUCCACCAAAUUCAACCAGCCGGUAUCCGUAAACCGUUCCCUCUCAGCCGUCAUGAUCACAUCCUCAGGUGGAGGCACGUCGUAUCUUACGGUGUCGUACCAAUACGAAUACUACAUAUGACGUUCUCGGAACCCUCGCAUUUCGGCUCCUUGUUUAGGAUCAAUGAUUGAGUAAUCACUAGUCAUGAUAAUUUUGGUCUGAGUCCGAACUGUAGUUAUAACCGACAAUGUUUUUGUUGUUGUUAAUUUUUGCAAAAUGAUCAGGCACAUUUGGUAAAGGUAUAUAACUGCAUAAUCAUAUCAGCACUAUCGAGUUACCAUUCCUAUCCAUUAUUAUGUUCAUGCAACUCUCCAAAAAUUAAAAGUACAAAUCAUCAUCCUCACAGCAUCUCCAAAAAACUCUAUAUUUGAAUUUCCAAGGUGUUCUUCUCCAAAAGCAAAACUUCAAAUUUAACUUCAAAAUUAUUUAUAAUAUACACUAUGCUCCUUAUAUUUGUCAUAAUUAAUAUAAAUCCAUAAAACUUUUGUAGAUAACUAGCACAUAUAUAAAAUACUAUAGUAAUAUUAAUUAAUAAAAUCUUGCACUAAAAUAUAUAAAUAGAAAUACAUAAUAAAAUAUUAAACUACAAGAAAAAUAUCACAUUAUUACAUAAAAUUAUUUUAUUAAUGCUCUGUUUUCGGUUAUACAAAAUUUGUUUAGAUAAUAUUUUAGAAGUUCCGGAGAAAAUUUACUAGACUAUUAGUGUUGUUGUAAUAUUUAAAUUUGUGUAAUAAUUAUGUCGUCAUGUAUAUAUCUUCUUAAAUAUUUUUAUUAUGUUUCUUUUGUAAUAUUCUUGUUGUUUAAUUCUACUUUUAAAAUAUUAUAAAUCUUAUUUUGAUUUUUUAAAAAACUUUUAUGUGUAAAAUUUUAAUUUCUAAAAUAAAUUUGAAAUAUUUAAAAUGUACAAAAGUCUUAAAGAUAAAAAACUAUGAAUGAGAAAAUACUUAAGAAUCGUAAAUGUGAUGUAUAAUUAAUUAUAAGGACCAAUAUACAAAUAAAAAGAUGAAACUUCAAAUUUAGAGUUUUGAGUAGUGAAACUUUAAAUACUCUCAGAAACCUAAAAUUCGAGUUUCUGAACGUGAAUUUAAUUGUAUUUAAAUCAUAACUUAAAAACAAGAAAUUACCGGUAUAUUAAAUUAAUAUGCUAUUAAAAAAAAUCCUUUGUUUGCUAAUCUUGUUAUAAAACAUGAUUUGGUGCUAUAUUACUCUAUUUAUCCAUUCUACAUAACUCAAAAAGUUGUGAUUGAGAGAAUGAAUGUUAUCAAAGAAAGAGAAGUUGUGUAUCCAUAUUCUUUUGUUUCCCUUGGUUCAUAACAUUUCGUCCAAUAGAUAAUAUAAAUAAUUACCAAAACAUCAGACACAGAACUUGUCGCCUUAAUCAUCUGCUGAUGUUCCUUUUGAACAAUGCAAGCUUCGCCCUUCUCUAGCAGCUUCAAAACCCUCAUUAAAAUCGUCCAAUCAAUCCCUUAAAAGUUUUGAAACAUCAAAGAAAAAAUUUGCAUUCAGAUUGUAUAAAGGUACAAGUACAUCAAUCAUGAGAGGAGCUUAUAUAGUGAAGGGUGUAGUGAAGUCGAUCCAUUCAAGAAUCAUUGGAGAAAGGAGAGGAUACAUUAAUGUGUUUGUUGAGAGCAAACGUUUUUUUAAAAAACGACUACCUCCUAAAAACUGGUAAUUGAAAAGGGAAAGAAGUUUGCAUUUAAUAUCCAGCAAAAUGAUACAAUCUUGUAGCUCAAAAGGAAAACAAAGAAGAAACAAGAGUGUCUUAAGCUGCAACAAGAUCAGGUGUCUCAGCCUCAACGGACAACAAGGUAGUGUGAACCUUAUCAACCCAACUAUCAAGCUGAUCCCUCAAUGACUUGAUCUGCGGUAUCCCAAGCACCCUCGGUUGCGCCCAUGAAACAUGCACAGUUCCAUCCACCUGAUCUAUUAUCCC